AGUGAACGCUGGCGGCAGGCCUAAUACAUGCAAGUCGAACGAACAGACCGGGAGCUUGCUCCUAUGAGGUUGGCGCCGGACGGAUGGGUAACUCAUGGAUAGCCUACCUCUAAGACUGGGAUGAUUACGGGAAACCGGAGCUAAGACCGGAUAAUAUAUUGAACCGCAUGGUUCAAUCGUGUAAGUCGCUUUUGGUUUGACGUAUAGAUGGACCCGGGCCGCAUUAGCUAGUUGGUAAGGUAACGGCUUACCAAGGCAACGAUGCGUAGCCGACCUGAGAGGGUGAUCCGCCACACUGGAACUGAGACACGGUCCAGACUCCUACGGGAGGCAGCAGUAGGGAAUCUUCCGCAAUGGGCGAAAGCGUGAUCGAGCAACACCGCGUGAGUGAUGAAGGUCUUCGGAUGGUAAAACUCUGUUGUUAGGAAAGAAGAAAAGUUUUUUUACCUAUGCCCGUCAUGACGGUACCUAAAGAAAAAGCCCCGGCUAACUUCGUG
rnacentral:rRNA from 1 species